UACGUAGGGUGCGAGCGUUAAUCGGAAUUACUGGGCGUAAAGCGCGUGUAGGCGGCUUUGCAAGUCGGGUGUGAAAGCCCUCAGCUCAACUGAGGAAGUGCGCCCGAAACUGCAGAGCUUGAGUACCGGAGAGGAUGGCGGAAUUCCCCAAGUAGAGGUGAAAUUCGUAGAUAUGGGGAGGAACACCGGUGGCGAAGGCGGCCAUCUGGACGGAUACUGACGCUGAGACGCGAAAGCGUGGGGAGCAAACAGG
rnacentral:rRNA from 1 species